AACACGGAGAGUUUGAUCCUGGCUCAGGAUGAACGCUGGCGGUCUGCUUAACACAUGCAAGUCGAACGGACUCUUCGGAGUUAGUGGCGGACGGGUGAGUAACGCGUGAGAAUCUGCCUCUAGGACUGGGACAACAGAAGGAAACUUCUGCUAAUCCCGGAUGAGCCGCAAGGUGAAAGA
rnacentral:ncRNA from 1 species